rnacentral:lncRNA from 1 species
AGAGGCUGCAAGAACUCAGAAUCCUUGAGUGUCUUUGUUCUAUGGCUCCUAUUGUGUGCAAUAAAGAGAAAGAGCCAUGUGUGUGUUUGGGGUGGGGGGAGAGGGUUGUGAAGAGAUCCAAACAUUAAGCAGACUUUCCAGAUGGUUUUGAAUGUCCUCAGCAGUAUGUGUUUCAGGGAAAUGAAAAAAUAUAUAUAUAUAUAAAGCUCAGCUGAGGUAGGAAAGAAUUAUACAUUCCUAAAUCAUAUCAGAGUUCAAAAUGAAACAGCAGACUUUGAAGCCAACAUCCUUUGGUAUGAAAGAAGGUAGAAAAUCAAGAGAAUGGAGAAUAUUAAAUCUCUUGGGACUCUUAAAAAGUUCCCAGUUAUUCCUGCUGAGGUUAUUGCUUCAGUUGACAACUUCCUGGAAGUGAGACUGACUAGUGAAUGUGGUGCUGAUUGAACCAGAUUCCAUGAGAUGACUCUAACACCACCCCUAAGAAACAACAUUCUUCUCCCAUGAAUCUGAGUCAAGGAAGCAGGAAGCUGCUUACCACAAGAAAGAGUAGGUUAGAACAAAUAGCCUCUACUACAGUUGACAGGAUCCAGCACUGACUGAAUUUUUAGAGAUUGUUCCACCCCCUUUGCUGUUCUGCUCAUUCCUUUGCUACCAAUUUCCCAUUGUUAAAUAAAGAAAUUAGUGGGCACUAAAUCCUUGUGGUG